UACGGGGGGGGCAAGCGUUGUUCGGAAUUACUGGGCGUAAAGGGCUCGUAGGUGGCCAACUAAGUCAGACGUGAAAUCCCUCGGCUUAACCGGGGAACUGCGUCUGAUACUGGAUGGCUUGAGUGUGGGAGAGGGAUGCGGAAUUCCAGGUGUAGCGGUGAAAUGCGUAGAUAUCUGGAGGAACACCGGUGGCGAAGGCGGCAUCCUGGACCACGACUGACGCUGAGUGAGCGAAAAGCCAGGGGAGCAAACGGGG
rnacentral:rRNA from 1 species